rnacentral:lncRNA from 1 species
GUGAGCCAUAUUAAAGAGGUCUUUAUAUAUUUAUAAACCAAUGAUAUACAGAUGAAAUCAGACAAGCUUUUCUAGUAUUUCAACAAAAAAACUAAUUAAAAAGCCAGAUGAGAGGCAAAAAUGGUGAAACGAGAAACAAGAAGUUUAUAAUAUGGCCUCUCAUAAGGGAUGCAGACGGCCUGAGCUUCCCAUAACCCAAAAAUGCACUGAUUUUAGAAAUUGACAUUGUACAGCUUGUUCAAACUCCUCAAUUGUAUAGAACUAGAUCAUAAACUAACAGUUAGGAACUGCUU